GUGGCUGUAGCUCAGUGGUAGAGCGCCCGCCUGUGGAGCGGGUGGUCGUGGGUUCAAAUCCCAUCAGCCACCCCA
rnacentral:tRNA from 1 species